GGGUUGUGAGGUUAAGCGACUAAGCGUACACGGUGGAUGCCCUGGCAGUCAGAGGCGAUGAAGGGCGUGCUAAUCUGCGAUAAGCGCCGGUAAGGUGAUAUGAACCGUUAUAACCGGCGAUACCCGAAUGGGGAAACCCAGUGUGAUUCGUCACACUAUCAUUAACUGAAUCCAUAGGUUAAUGAGGCGAACCGGGGGAACUGAAACAUCUAAGUACCCCGAGGAAAAGAAAUCAACCGAGAUUCCCCCAGUAGCGGCGAGCGAACGGGGAGGAGCCCAGAGCCUGAAUCAGCAUGUGUGUUAGUGGAAGCGUCUGGAAAGGCGCGCGAUACAGGGUGACAGCCCCGUACACAAAAGCGCAUGUGCUGUGAGCUCGAUGAGUAGGGCGGGACACGUGGUAUCCUGUCUGAAUAUGGGGGGACCAUCCUCCAAGGCUAAAUACUCCUGACUGACCGAUAGUGAACCAGUACCGUGAGGGAAAGGCGAAAAGAACCCCGGCGAGGGGAGUGAAAAAGAACCUGAAACCGUGUACGUACAAGCAGUGGGAGCACNNNNNUACCUGUGUGACUGCGUACCUUUUGUAUAAUGGGUCAGCGACUUAUAUUCUGUAGCAAGGUUAACCGAAUAGGGGAGCCGGAGGGAAACCGAGUCUUAAUUGGGCGUUAAGUUGCAGGGUAUAGACCCGAAACCCGGUGAUCUAGCCAUGGGCAGGUUGAAGGUUGGGUAACACUAACUGGAGGACCGAACCGACUAAUGUUGAAAAAUUAGCGGAUGACCUGUGGCUGGGGGUGAAAGGCCAAUCAAACCGGGAGAUAGCUGGUUCUCCCCGAAAGCUAUUUAGGUAGCGCCUCGUGAAUUCAUCUCCGGGGGUAGAGCACUGUUUCGGCUAGGGGGCCAUCCCGGCUUACCAACCCGAUGCAAACUGCGAAUACCGGAGAAUGUUAUCACGGGAGACACACGGCGGGUGCUAACGUCCGUCGUGAAGAGGGAAACAACCCAGACCGCCAGCUAAGGUCCCAAAGUCAUGGUUAAGUGGGAAACGAUGUGGGAAGGCCCAGACAGCCAGGAUGUUGGCUUAGAAGCAGCCAUCAUUUAAAGAAAGCGUAAUAGCUCACUGGUCGAGUCGGCCUGCGCGGAAGAUGUAACGGGGCUAAACCAUGCACCGAAGCUGCGGCAGCGACACUGUGUGUUGUUGGGUAGGGGAGCGUUCUGUAAGCCUGUGAAGGUGUGUCGUGAGGCAUGCUGGAGGUAUCAGAAGUGCGAAUGCUGACAUAAGUAACGAUAAAGCGGGUGAAAAGCCCGCUCGCCGGAAGACCAAGGGUUCCUGUCCAACGUUAAUCGGGGCAGGGUGAGUCGACCCCUAAGGCGAGGCCGAAAGGCGUAGUCGAUGGGAAACGGGUUAAUAUUCCCGUACUUGGUGUUACUGCGAAGGGGGGACGGAGAAGGCUAUGUUGGCCGGGCGACGGUUGUCCCGGUUUAAGCGUGUAGGUGUGUGUUCCAGGUAAAUCCGGUUCACUUUAACACUGAGGCGUGACGACGAGGCACUACGGUGCUGAAGCAACAAAUGCCCUGCUUCCAGGAAAAGCCUCUAAGCAUCAGGUAACAUCAAAUCGUACCCCAAACCGACACAGGUGGUCAGGUAGAGAAUACCAAGGCGCUUGAGAGAACUCGGGUGAAGGAACUAGGCAAAAUGGUGCCGUAACUUCGGGAGAAGGCACGCUGACACGUAGGUGAAGUGAUUUACUCAUGGAGCUGAAGUCAGUCGAAGAUACCAGCUGGCUGCAACUGUUUAUUAAAAACACAGCACUGUGCAAACACGAAAGUGGACGUAUACGGUGUGACGCCUGCCCGGUGCCGGAAGGUUAAUUGAUGGGGUCAGCGCAAGCGAAGCUCCUGAUCGAAGCCCCGGUAAACGGCGGCCGUAACUAUAACGGUCCUAAGGUAGCGAAAUUCCUUGUCGGGUAAGUUCCGACCUGCACGAAUGGCGUAAUGAUGGCCAGGCUGUCUCCACCCGAGACUCAGUGAAAUUGAACUCGCUGUGAAGAUGCAGUGUACCCGCGGCAAGACGGAAAGACCCCGUGAACCUUUACUAUAGCUUGACACUGAACAUUGAGCCUUGAUGUGUAGGAUAGGUGGGAGGCUUUGAAGUGUGGACGCCAGUCUGCAUGGAGCCGACCUUGAAAUACCACCCUUUAAUGUUUGAUGUUCUAACGUGGACCCGUUACCCGGGUUGCGGACAGUGUCUGGUGGGUAGUUUGACUGGGGCGGUCUCCUCCUAAAGAGUAACGGAGGAGCACGAAGGUUGGCUAAUCCUGGUCGGACAUCAGGAGGUUAGUGCAAUGGCAUAAGCCAGCUUGACUGCGAGCGUGACGGCGCGAGCAGGUGCGAAAGCAGGUCAUAGUGAUCCGGUGGUUCUGAAUGGAAGGGCCAUCGCUCAACGGAUAAAAGGUACUCCGGGGAUAACAGGCUGAUACCGCCCAAGAGUUCAUAUCGACGGCGGUGUUUGGCACCUCGAUGUCGGCUCAUCACAUCCUGGGGCUGAAGUAGGUCCCAAGGGUAUGGCUGUUCGCCAUUUAAAGUGGUACGCGAGCUGGGUUUAGAACGUCGUGAGACAGUUCGGUCCCUAUCUGCCGUGGGCGCUGGAGAACUGAGGGGGGCUGCUCCUAGUACGAGAGGACCGGAGUGGACGCAUCACUGGUGUUCGGGUUGUCAUGCCAAUGGCACUGCCCGGUAGCUAAAUGCGGAAGAGAUAAGUGCUGAAAGCAUCUAAGCACGAAACUUGCCCCGAGAUGAGUUCUCCCUGAGACUUAGAGUCUCCUGAAGGAACGUUGAAGACGACGACGUUGAUAGGCCGGGUGUGUAAGCGCAGCGAUGCGUUGAGCUAACCGGUACUAAUGAACCGUGAGGCUUAACCUUACAACGCCGAAG
rnacentral:rRNA from 1 species